CACUAUCGACAUCUCCAAGGCUAUCUUCCAAUAAACCCAUUCAUCUCCCCAUAGAACUCCAAGGCAUCGACACCUCCAAAGCUCUUAAUACCUUUCACCUUGAGAAUUUCAUGUACGGCUAACCCUAAAUCCUCAUAUCCCCAAAUCAAAUCGCAGGCCCAAAGAAAAUAUCUAAAAGGCACGAUUAAAGGUGAGAAAACUACUUCAAUCGUGAGAAAUUUUCUACCCAAAAGGCACUAUAUGAGAAACUAACUUUAGGCGUAAGUUUUUCUUUUCUAAUUUGGGUAAUUUCUUCUUUAAUCAUUAUUUUUUCUUUAAUCCUUAGGAUGUGAGCAAUGUAUUUAAUUUCUUGCUUUGACUGUAAUAUUAUUCAAGAAAAGAGAAAAAAGAAAAUCGGGGGGGGGGGGGGUUUAGACUUUGUUGUAUUACUUAUUUUCUGGGGUUAUUUUUGAAGGAGCAAAAUUAGAUUUUUAUGGUCUUAUUAGCUUUGUGUAUCAGAUUAUUUUUUACUAAAUUUUUAGGUGUUUAUUUUUAGUUUUUGUUUUGUAGGGAAAUAUUGGGGGGGGGGUGUUGGGUUUGGUGGUUGUUGAAGAAAUUGGGUUUGCUGAACUUUAUUUUUUCACUAUUUGUUAGGUACUUUGUUGUCACAUGUGUUUUGCUGCUUUUCUUUGAAAUGAUACUUUCUCCGUCUCUUGAGAAACAUGUGCUAAUGCUAUGACCUCAUCUGCAAUGAAAAGAAUGUCAUGCUUUUUUACUAUAGCUUGGAUCUAAAAAUGAGUAGGAUGAGUUAUUAUUUCUGCUAGUUAUAAGCAUAAUCCAUAGUAAAUUUUUUUUGAAAUAAUUAACUAUCAAAAUUACGAAUAAAAUAGGAAUUAUAAUUGAAAGGUAAGUACAAACUAUGAUGCAAUGGGCAUGGGCAUAAUUUAGAUAAUGCAGAAUCCAAAGGAUUUUGAGUUCACUGAGAUAUACACAUACAUAGCUAAUUCAUGGGGCUGUGAAGAUAUGUGCUAUGAACUUGGAGUUUCAACUAACUAUUGUAUAUGGGCUGCACGAUGUGGCCACUAGAAAAUCACUAUGGAUUUAAUUAAUUAAGAUCUAUUGUAAGUAUGCAACAGGGGGAAUGAAUUGCUAUGGGUGACUCUAACUCUAUAAGACACUAGAAUGAUAGAAUUAGAGGGAAUUCAAUAUAGGAGUAUAAAGUUGCUGACUUCAACAGAUUCAUGGUGGAUAAAAAUAUGAUAGAGCUAAAGGCAAUGGAAGAAGGUACACAUGGACAAAUAACUAUGUGCUUAGCAAGACUGACUAGGAACUUGUCAAUAACACAUGGAUGACCAACUGGAUACAUGUGAAAGCUACAAUAAUGAAUUCCUAACUAUCAAUAUGACUGAUUAAGUUAUGAGAAACUCAUAACUUAAUUAAGAGGAUAGCUAAAAUCAGUAAAUUUUACAAACACAAUUUGUUGAUUGCAACUAAAUGAGGCUUGAAUUGAAAGAUAAUUGAGGUACUGUUAAUGCUUUAUUUUCAUGUUAUAAUACCUGUCAACUCACAGUCUGCAGUUGCAUUUUCUGCCUAGUUCUUCUGCUACUUCAGCAGCUACAUCAUUAUCUGUAUCUGCAGUUGUUUUUAUUAGUGAAGUGCAAUUCAGGAUUUUAUGACAUGAAAGAAAAGUACUGUUUAGGUCCAGAAAGAAAAGUGUUUAGUACCACAAUUCAUGCUUUUCCCCCCUCAUCAUUUCACUAAGUUUUUAGGUCUAAAAUGAAAAGUGACAGUAGUUGCGACGAUAGUUGAAAUCAUCUGGUAUUGUAGUAACUGCAAUAGUUUUAAAUUCGCGCAUAAACAUUGUGACUUUCUAAGUUCCACCCUUAAAAGAAAUGGUCAAUGUCAAAUUAAUAUACUUUUGGUUUAUUUGGUUAGUUUUGUUGAUUUACUUUUUUCGUAUAGGAUAUCUAUGGAUAAUGGUGAUAAAAGUUGGAUGAAUCUCCUGAGAUGGACGGAUGAGUAUAUCCGUGGAGUGAAUGAUUUUCUUGAUAAGGCAUUUGAACGAGCCGCCCAAGAAAAUGAAAUAUUAUGCCCUUGCAAAAAGUGCAUGAAUCGCUAUUGGCAUUAUAGAAAUGCGGUGGAGGAUCAUUUGGUUGUUCAUUGAUUUGUUGACGGUUAUACCAAAUGAGUUAAUUCAUGGCUUAGCUUGACUAAUUUUUUAAAUCAUUCUUGUUUUUGACAUUUUUUAGAUUAUGUUGAAUUAUAGCAAAUCCAUUUUUGGUUUUGAAACGAGUAGUUCUCUUGAAGAGUAAUGACUUUAUUUAUCCUCUUUUGUAGGUGGAGUAGAUCAAGAAAUAGAAUAAGAUGAUGGCAGUGAAGAACUAGACCUUACUUGAGAUGAAUUUUAAACUGCUAUAGAUGAAUGUUCUAUAAGAAUCUUUUGUUAUCAAUAUUUUUAAAAUUUACUCUCUUGAAAUGAAUUAAACUUAUGCAUUUGGGGU
rnacentral:lncRNA from 1 species